rnacentral:rRNA from 1 species
CCUACGGGAGGCUGCAGUGGGGAAUAUUGGACAAUGGGGGCAACCCUGAUCCAGCCAUGCCGCGUGUGUGAAGAAGGCCCUCGGGUUGUAAAGCACUUUCAGUGAGGAAGAACGCCUGGUGGUUAAUACCCAUCAGGAAAGACAUCACUCACAGAAGAAGCACCGGCUAACUCCGUGCCAGCAGCCGCGGUAAUACGGAGGGUGCGAGCGUUAAUCGGAAUUACUGGGCGUAAAGCGCGCGUAGGUGGCUUGAUAAGCCGGUUGUGAAAGCCCCGGGCUCAACCUGGGAACGGCAUCCGGAACUGUCAAGCUAGAGUGCAGGAGAGGAAGGUAGAAUUCCCGGUGUAGCGGUGAAAUGCGUAGAGAGCGGGAGGAAUACCAGUGGCGAAGGCGGACUUCUGGACUGACACUGACACUGAGGUGCGAAAGCGUGGGUAGCAAACAGGAUUAGAUACCCUGGUAGUC